AUUAAACAAGAACAUACCCACUCGCAUCAGUAAAGUGGAAAUCUUUCAUCUGAUUAAUUACAUCUUUGUCACUCUGAAAUUCCUCUGCAACACUUUCUGGUCCAUGAGUCAACAGGUGCUCCACCACAAUCAGAGAAUUAUGGCAAGCAUCAAUACCAAUAACUUGAAGAAGAAAAAGCAGGCAGAAAAACCUUUUGUGCAGAAUCUCUACAAUCCUCCAAUAAUCAUCAAGCUCAAAAGCAGCCCUUGAAAUUGAUCUGAGUGUUGGAGAAUCUGGGGCCCAUGGAUUUCCUUUGGUAACUUCUUCUGUCAUGCUACAAAUAGUAUAGGACCACAAAAGCUAUGUAUUAGAGAUGGUUUCUUUGGCUGUGAAACACAUAAAAUGUCAAAUCUUAUAGUUGAAUCAUGAAAAGAGAAGCUUACAGUUC